UACGUAGGGAGCAAGCGUUGUCCGGAAUCAUUGGGCGUAAAGCGCGCGUAGGUGGCUUCGUAAGUCCGUUGUGAAAGUCAAAGGCUCAACCUUUGAAAGCCGAUGGAUACUGCGGAGCUAGAGUACGGAAGAGGCGAGUGGAAUUCCUGGUGUAGCGGUGGAAUGCGUAGAUAUCGGAAGGAACACCGGUGGCGAAGGCGGAUGCCUGGCCCAAUACUGACGCUGAGGCACGAAAGCGUGGGUAGCGAACAGG
rnacentral:rRNA from 1 species